UACAGAGGUCUCAAGCGUUGUUCGGAUUCAUUGGGCGUAAAGGGUGCGUAGGCGGCGCGGUAAGUCGGGUGUGAAAUCUCGGGGCUUAACUCCGAAACUGCAUUCGAUACUGCCGUGCUUGAGGACUGGAGAGGAGACUGGAAUUUACGGUGUAGCGGUGAAAUGCGUAGAUAUCGUAAGGAAGACCAGUGGCGAAGGGGGGUCUCUGGACAGUUCCUGACGCUGAGGCACGAAGGUCAGGGGAGCAAACGGG
rnacentral:rRNA from 1 species